GACGAACGCUGGCGGCGUGCUUAACACAUGCAAGUCGAACGGAAAGGCCCUGCUUUUGUGGGGUGCUCGAGUGGCGAACGGGUGAGUAACACGUGAGUAACCUGCCCUUGACUUUGGGAUAACUUCAGGAAACUGGGGCUAAUACCGGAUAGGAGCUCCUGCUGCAUGGUGGGGGUUGGAAAGUUUCGGCGGUUGGGGAUGGACUCGCGGCUUAUCAGCUUGUUGGUGGGGUAGUGGCUUACCAAGGCUUUGACGGGUAGCCGGCCUGAGAGGGUGACCGGCCACAUUGGGACUGAGAUACGGCCCAGACUCCUACGGGAGGCAGCAGUGGGGAAUAUUGCACAAUGGGCGGAAGCCUGAUGCACCAACGCCGCGUGCGGGAUGACGGCCUUCGGGUUGUAAACCGCUUUCGCCUGCGACGAAGCGUGAGUGACGGUAAUGGGUAAAGAAGCACCGGCUAACUACGUG
rnacentral:rRNA from 1 species